rnacentral:tRNA from 1 species
AGGGAUGUAGCUCAGUGGUAGAGCACUUGCCUAGUACGUGUGCAGCCCUGGGUCCAAUCCCCAGUAUCAUAA